CAACACAACACAACACAAUCAUCAUCAACACAAACCAACAAGAACAACAAUGACUUUCAGCAUCAUCUUCAUCUGGACACUUUGUAUUCAAGGUUUCAGUGGACAGAUAACUGUGACACAAACUCCUUCUGUUAAAAUGGUUAAGAUUGAUGAAUCUGUCACUAUAAACUGCAAAACCAACACACAAGUGAGCAACGCUUGUGUCGGUUCAUAUACUUGUAUGGCCUGGUACCAGCAGAAACCUGGAGAAGCUCCUAAACUCUUGAUUCAUUCUGCAAGUCAAAGACUGUCAAACACUCCAUCUAGAUUCAGUGGCAGUGGAUCAAACACAGAUUUUACUCUGAGCAUCAGUGGAGUUCAGACUGAAGAUGCAGGAGAUUAUUACUGUCAGAGUUUUCAUUAUAUCAACAGUAAACAUGUGUUGACACAGUGA